UGGCUCAGAGGUUAAAGCAUCUGCUUCCAAUGCGGGAGACCCAGGUUCGAUCCCUGG
rnacentral:tRNA from 1 species